AUGGAACAUAACAAAGCUCCAGGCCCAGAUGGUUUCCCCGCAGAAUUCUAUCAGAAUUUCUGGGAUAUCAUCAAGACUGACCUUUUGGAGUUGUUUAAUUGUCUUCAUGCCGACCAACUAGAUCUAUUCAAACUUAACUUUGGCGAGAUUGUCUUGUUGCCAAAGAUUAAGGAGGCCGAACAGAUCCAGCAGUUCAGACCCAUAUGCCUCCUUAAUGUUAGCUUCAAGAUCUUUACCAAAGUGAACAUGAGUGGAGUAGUAUUUAAAAUCGACUUUGAGAAGGCCUAUGACAAGGUCAAAUGGUCUUUCCUCCAACAGGCCCUAAGAAUGAAAGGUUUCUCUGAUAAAUGGCGCCAAUGGAUCCAAAAUUUUGUAACUAGAGGUAGUGUGGCCAUCAAAGUCAAUGAUGAUUUAGGCCAUUACUUCCAGACAAAAAAAGGACUACGGCAGGGUGACCCCAUGUCCCCAAUGUUAUUUAACAUUGUUGUUGACAUGUUGGCUAUUCUGAUUGAGCGCGCCAAGCAGGACGGCCAGAUUGCAGGAGUAGUACCA
rnacentral:rRNA from 1 species